rnacentral:rRNA from 1 species
GUUUGAUCAUGGCUCAGAUUGAACGCUGGCGGCAGGCUUAACACAUGCAAGUCGAACGGUAACAGGUUAAGCUGACGAGUGGCGAACGGGUGAGUAAUGUAUCGGAACGUGCCCAGUCGUGGGGGAUAACUGCUCGAAAGAGCAGCUAAUACCGCAUACGACCUGAGGGUGAAAGCGGGGGAUCGCAAGACCUCGCGCGAUUGGAGCGGCCGAUAUCAGAUUAGG